rnacentral:rRNA from 1 species
GGGUGCGAUAAUACCAGCACUAAUGCACCGGAUCAUAUCAGAACUCUGUAGUUAAGCGUGCUUGGGCGAGACUAGCACUAGGAUAGGUGACCUCUUGGGAAGUCCUUGUGUUGCACCCC